rnacentral:tRNA from 2 species
CGGGUGUAGCUCAGUUGGUUAGAGCGCCGGCCUGUCACGCCGGAGGCCGCGGGUUCAAGUCCCGUCACUC